rnacentral:lncRNA from 1 species
AUUUGCAAAAAGGGAGAAAAGGUAAAAUAUGAAUAGAAAGUUUUAUGUUUCUUAGCUAAAAAAAGAAGCAUUUAAAUUUUACACAAAGAAGUCCAGGUAUGGUGGCUCACACCUGUAAUCCCAGCACUUUGUGAAAAAUAAGAAAUAAAUAAAUAAUAAAAAUAAACAAAUACAUUUUACACAAAGAACCACCAUAUCUAGAUCUUUAUGCUGAUUCAUUUCUCUUAAAACAAUGGGAAACCCCAGCUGCAGACCUCAAUCUACAGUGCAUAUGAAGAAAUUUGACUGAUUUUGUAAUGUCAUGAAUCUUCUCUGCUU